rnacentral:lncRNA from 1 species
UGUGAAAGUACUUUAAUUCGUGGGUAUCAAUUUUCGUGGUUUCAGCAAUAUUUACAUGUUCGUGGGUUUUUAAAUUCGUGGAUUUAGGUUUUCUAGAAAGAAAAAAAUAUGAAAAGUUGAAGCAUUUAAAAACGACGGUUACACUUAGUCUGGAUUGAAGGAAAUUGCUAAGUAAACAUUGACCCGUAUAAAUCGUAGUGACAACACUAAU